CAUGUGGUUUAUUCGAGCACGCGCAGAACCUUACCAGCGUUUGACAUGGCAGGACGACUUCCAGAGAUGGAUUUCUUCCCUUCGGGGACCUGCACACAGGUGCUGCAUGGCUGUCGUCAGCUCGUGUCGUGAGAUGUUGGGUUAAGUCCCGCAACGAGCGCAACCCUCGCCUUUAGUUGCCAUCAUUUAGUUGGGCACUUUAAAGGAACCGCCGGUGAUAAGCCGGAGGAAGGUGGGGAUGACGUCAAGUCCUCAUGGCCCUUACGCGCUGGGCUACACACGUGCUACAAUGGCGGUGACAGUGGGCAGCAAGCACGCGAGUGUGAGCUAAUCUCCAAAAGCCGUCUCAGUUCGGAUUGUUCUCUGCAACUCGAGAGCAUGAAGGCGGAAUCGCUAGUAAUCGCGGAUCAGCAUGCCGCGGUGAAUACGUUCCCAGGCCUUGUACACACCGCCCGUCACACCAUGGGAGUUGGAUUCACCCGAAGGCGUUGCGCUAACUCAGCAAUGAGAGGCAGGCGACCACGGUGGGUUUAGCGACUGGGGUGAAGUCGUAACAAGGUAGCCGUAGGGGAACCUGCGGCUGGAUCACCUCCUUUCUAAGGAUAUCGGCAGAAAGCGCUGACAGGCCCGCAUCUUAUGGUGCCACCCUGUCGGAAGAGCUUCUUCCAUUCCAAAGAACAUUAGCCGCCGUCCUCAUGUCCCUUCAUCACUAGGUUAGUCCAUAAGACGAGAYAGCAUCCGCUGUCUUGGCUAUGGGCAAGCUCGGCCAGCGCGCGAAGCGCGCCCCUGGGUCCCAUCAAAGUACUACUUUGAUGGGGGCCCKAUUAGGCGCAGUUCAGCUGCGUCUGACGGGCGCAGCGGGUGUGGGCCUGUAGCUCAGUUGGUUAGAGCGCACCCCUGAUAAGGGUGAGGUCGGUGGUUCGAAUCCACCUAGGCCCACCACACACAAGUGCGUUUGGGGCCUUAGCUCAGCUGGGAAGAGCGGUUGCUUUGCAAGCAUCAGGUCAUCGGUUCGAUCCCGAUAGGCUCCACCAUUUCGCAG
rnacentral:misc_RNA from 1 species